GCGGCCGUAACUAUAACGGUCCUAAGGUAGCGAAAUUCCUUGUCGGGUAAGUUCCGACCUGCACGAAUGGCGUAAUGAUGGCCAGGCUGUCUCCACCCGAGACUCAGUGAAAUUGAACUCGCUGUGAAGAUGCAGUGUACCCGCGGCAAGACGGAAAGACCCCGUGAACCUUUACUAUAGCUUGACACUGAACAUUGAGCCUUGAUGUGUAGGAUAGGUGGGAGGCUUUGAAGUGUGGACGCCAGUCUGCAUGGAGCCGACCUUGAAAUACCACCCUUUAAUGUUUGAUGUUCUAACGUGGACCCGUAAUCCGGGUUGCGGACAGUGUCUGGUGGGUAGUUUGACUGGGGCGGUCUCCUCCUAAAGAGUAACGGAGGAGCACGAAGGUUGGCUAAUCCUGGUCGGACAUCAGGAGGUUAGUGCAAUGGCAUAAGCCAGCUUGACUGCGAGCGUGACGGCGCGAGCAGGUGCGAAAGCAGGUCAUAGUGAUCCGGUGGUUCUGAAUGGAAGGGCCAUCGCUCAACGGAUAAAAGGUACUCCGGGGAUAACAGGCUGAUACCGCCCAAGAGUUCAUAUCGACGGCGGUGUUUGGCACCUCGAUGUCGGCUCAUCACAUCCUGGGGCUGAAGUAGGUCCCAAGGGUAUGGCUGUUCGCCAUUUAAAGUGGUACGCGAGCUGGGUUUAGAACGUCGUGAGACAGUUCGGUCCCUAUCUGCCGUGGGCGCUGGAGAACUGAGGGGGGCUGCUCCUAGUACGAGAGGACCGGAGUGGACGCAUCACUGGUGUUCGGGUUGUCAUGCCAAUGGCACUGCCCGGUAGCUAAAUGCGGAAGAGAUAAGUGCUGAAAGCAUCUAAGCACGAAACUUGCCCCGAGAUGAG
rnacentral:rRNA from 1 species